rnacentral:sRNA from 1 species
GAUUUUUUCACAGAACAUCUAGUUUUACAUCGACCUAACAGCACCAGAAGUGAGCCUUCGGAAUCAGGACUAUUUAAACAGAAGAAGCGCAAACAAUACACGGCGGAGGAAUACCAAGCACUCAAAGCAGAACUACGGAGGAAACAGAAGUCCUGGCUGCCUCUCAUGCCCAACAGAGCUGCUACGGUGCUCUGAAACCUUUCUGGGUGUUACCUUAUUUAAAGAGACUUCAUUUUUAAAUAUAUUUAAUGACAACUUCACCACAUUAUAAAUAGCUUCUUAUGCUUAAUUUCGUUAUUUUUAUUUCGUGUCAUUUCUAUUCCGAUAAAUAUGAAAUUAUAAAUGAAACUCGACUUUUUCAAAUACUCACAUCAUUGACGAGACAUUCUCUAUGUCUUUAGAAUGCCAGGUGUAUCUGUAUAAUUUGUUUAUUGAUUUAAGUAAAGAAACAGCGUUGUGUAUUUGCCUAUGCAAGUUUUGUUUCAAUAUAUUAAGUAUCAUAAACCAGACUUGUAAAAUAUGAAGAUAUUUAUUUGCCUUAAAGAUGAAAUAAAAUGUCAAUAUUAAUAUCA